rnacentral:sRNA from 1 species
GGAACGGGCCUUUCAGGCAUCCUCUCCCAAAACUUCUCAGGGCUGGCGUUUCGUCAGCCCUUUCUUUUUGCCCACG